rnacentral:rRNA from 1 species
ACGGGUGCGUAACGCGUGGGAAUCUGCCCUUGGGUUCGGAAUAACAGUUAGAAAUGACUGCUAAUACCGGAUGAUGACGUAAGUCCAAAGAUUUAUCGCCCAGGGAUGAGCCCGCGUAGGAUUAGCUAGUUGGUGAGGUAAAGGCUCACCAAGGCUACGAUCCUUAGCUGGUCUGAGAGGAUGAUCAGCCACACUGGGACUGAGACACGGCCCAGACUCCUACGGGAGGCAGCAGUAGGGAAUAUUGGACAAUGGGGGCAACCCUGAUCCAGCAAUGCCGCGUGAGCGAUGAAGGCCUUAGGGUUGUAAAGCUCUUUUACCCGGGAUGAUAAUGACAGUACCGGGAGAAUAAGCCCCGGCUAACUCCGUGCCAGCAGCCGCGGUAAUACGGAGGGGGCUAGCGUUGUUCGGAAUUACUGGGCGUAAAGCGCACGUAGGCGGCUAUUCAAGUCAGAGGUGAAAGCCCGGGGCUCAACCCCGGAACUGCCUUUGAAACUAGAUAGCUUGAAUCACGGAGAGGUGGGUGGAAUUCCGAGU